rnacentral:piRNA from 1 species
UUGAAAUUAAAGCAUUGUCUC